CAUGUAAUAGCUCUUCUACACGUCAAACUAAUCGGCUUAUUGCUUAAAUAGUUCUAAUUUUUGUUAGAUCUUGCUUCAGUUCAUUUGGGUAUUUCCUCAGCCCACACAGUCCCUCCUGCCCACCACAGAAUGAUAUUACUUGUUCCCCACAAAACCAGAGUGGUGAGUGUGAGCUUUGGACUGGAGGAGGGAUUUUGCUCCGGUACACACCCAACUCUCUACGAUCUCCAAGAGGUGAAGACAAAUCUGCUGAAUUUGCCAUUUCAGGUGCGCACGUUCAUCUUCAUUGUGCCACACGGCGUCUAAAUAUGGGCAAGCUUGGAUUUAAAUCACAAUAACACACCAAGAAGAUGAAUGACAGUGCUAUUGGAUAUGGCUAAAAUUGGAUCCUUCAGCACAGUGCUGCUGACACACUCCAAGAGAGAUUCCACCCGCAAACAGGCGCCGCUAGGAGACCACCGCUGCUGGAAAGAACUCGUCUACGGGAGGCAGCCUGCACAGAUUCAUCUGCAAGGCAACAGAGCUUAUCGAGGCACUACUUUGUAAUGAAGCUUUGCCUCAGCAAACAGCACAUUUACUGGUGAUGUACCAGACUAACUCUUUCUUGGCAGAGAUAUCAGGCUUUCAUUCAAUUUCACUAAUUCUCCCUCUCCCACCUCUCUACUCUUUUCACAUAAUAUAGAACAGCUUCUUCCUACACCGACAAGUGACAUCCGCAGCUUCCUCCUUCAGACCCCACGUGAUCAGUGAUUUGACUGUUGUAGUCAGGAGAAACAGGUUGACCCACACAGGAGAGAAUUUCUAGAUACUUGGCACACAGCUCCAUAUAUAUGCCCAUUUUUGUUGCUCCCCUACGCUGUUCAGGUCAUGAGGGAACUAAAACUCUUUAAGCUUCUGAAGGAGGCUCUGAAAUAAUGUGCCUUCUUCAUAUCUUAUUUGCUGACACACAUUUACAUAUAUUUGUAUUUAUGAAGGCAACAUGUACAGAAAUGAUAACCGCAAUUUUCUGAAGAUGACAUCUUGCCCAAUAACAUCGACAAACGAGAUGCAUGCAGUUAUCUGGCCAGCACUGCUGCCCCAGAGUGACCCUGCUUGCUCCCAGGCCAUCAGCUGGACCUAGGUACCCAGUUCAGCAGCCAACAGCAGCAGCACUGUCUGCAUUUUUAUUUUACUUCUUCUGAGAACUGCAGAGCAUUUCCCAGAUGUUUGUUAGCUUCAAAGUGUGCCACUGAGAUACAUCAGCAUUGCCAUCACAUUUCACAGAGGGGCUGAUUGAGGAACAAAGUCUGCAUGCAAAGCCACAGUGAUACAGACUGAGCCUGGGGCACUCCCUCAGCCUCCUCAGCUCCUUCCAGCCAUCACCAAAUCCUGGUUGUGCUGUUGCUAGAGACAUGCAGUCCCUCUUACUGGGCAGCAGCAGAAGCUUGUAGGGUUCAGGUGGACUUGCCCAUAUUUAGUGUGCAGAUGUCAGUGGGAAACCUGUGCUAUGUUACACCCUCCUUGCUCCACCUUUGCCAAAAGUCUCAUCAUCUAAUUGGAGAUCACAAAGUAAUUCAACGGCAGAACAAAACACAGUACAGAAGCAGAAUUGAACAAACAUACAGAUUUUUUGUUUUCUAGGUGGAAAAGACCCUAUUGGUAGAGACAGAAACGUUUUGUUUCAGGAAAACGACUUCUCAGAUCCUGCCACAGACCCACUGCAGUGCAGCAGCACUCCAGCAGCCGGAGCAGCUGCCUGAGGCAUGGGGCAGACUCAAGUCCUCACGCUGAGACAGGCUGAAAUCAAGGUCUCAAGGUGGGGAAAGAGACAUUAAAAAGGAAGGAGUUGGGGGAGCAGAUAAUCUUAUUUUCUACUUAGUUCAAAACAGCAACCUUGCAUCUGUUCUCUUAUCUUAAACAUAGGGUAUCACUUUAUCUUGUUCAAUAAUGUUUCUCCUGACACAUUUGUUCUUUACAAAAGGAACUAUUGACAGAACAGGCAAGAAUAAAGAACUGUUCUUCCAAUAAAUUAAUUCUUCAGA